UACGUAGGUGGCAAGCGUUGUCCGGAUUUAUUGGGUUUAAAGGGUGCGUAGGUGGGUAGGAAAGUCAGUGGUGAAAUCUUCGGGCUUAACCCGGAAACUGCCAUUGAUACUAUUUAUCUUGAAUACUUUGGAGGUAAGCGGAAUAUGUCAUGUAGCGGUGAAAUGCUUAGAUAUGACAUAGAACACCAAUUGCGUAGGCAGCUUACUACACGAUCAUUGACGCUGAGGCACGAAAGCGUGGGGAGCAAACAGG
rnacentral:rRNA from 1 species